GAACGAAUGAGGUGUCCGUCGCACAAGCUAAGUACUCUGCAACCCCUGGAACUAACCAGUUCGUGGAAGUAAGGAAUUUACCACCGUGAGGUCGCCGUAAAUAUCAGUGUGUGUUCGGCUAAGUGGUGAGGACACGGAAGAGCACAAGACAGCGGGCAGGAAGCUACGGUGUCUGCUUAAGGAAAUGUCUGGAAUUGAGAUUUCCUGCCAGUUCUCCCUUCCGCUGGCUGACAAAGGACAGACGUCCUUCUGAAGCUGAACAGUGUGCGGUGUGUUGUCCUGAGGUGGAAACCCCCCACCCCUGGCCUGGCGAACAGACCAUUUGAAAUACUGGCGUUGGUGAGGGCUUCUGUGUCCAUCAAAGGCACUGUAAACCGGUGAGAGGGCUUCCCGUAUUUCUGCGUCUUACGCAUACACUUAUAAAGGCAAAAUGUGGCAAUCAGACACAAGCACUGUUUACAAUAGCUGAGACAUGGAAGCCACCUAAGUGUCCGUCAAUAAUGAAUGGAUAUAGAAGAUAUGUGAUUUCCUCCUAUUGUCUCCUAAACCAGUCCCGAGGAAAACCAUGGCAUGCUCUCACAGGGGAAGGUUCUUCUCGACUGAAAAAGGAAGUAUAAACAGACACAACAUGGAAAGCUAGGAGAGUAACAAGCCUUUGGUGAAAAGAGGAGUCUUGCACUAAGACAGUGACCAGACCCAACGUGACCACAGAAACCAGUGGGAGGUCAUCCAGGUAGAAUGAAUGGUACCUUGAGCCAUUGUACCACUGCACUUAUAAUGAGAAUUGACUCUGGCCAUCUUCAGCAGGAAAAUAAUUUAUUGGAAGGAUAUUGGAAACUCCCAAGUCAGUAUGAAGGCUGGAGAACCUGACUCAAAAAAUGGAUGGGAAGCAAGCCAGAUACAUAGCUGGGAUGACAGCACUCACCAGCUCUCAGCAGGUGCUCUUGCUUUCAUUCUCAACACAUUCACGCUAGACACUAGCUAACCCCACCUCAGGACUCUCUCAACUCUGCUGUCCCUGCCAGCGCAAAUAGCUUCUUACCUGCCCCUCAGUCUGUACAUCAGCCCCUCAGGUUUUAAAGUCCUGCAUGGGACCUAAAAUAGAAUUGACCAAGUCUAGGCCAUACUGGAUAUAUCGAUGUCAGGAGCAACGAAAGGAAAUAUCUGCUUCCUUUGUUUUUCCUAAUGAAAAGUGGGGUCCUGCCAGCACACCUACUGUGUACUAAACCAGCAGAGCCCAGAGACAGAAUGCAGAAAUUUUAUAGUGGGUCGUUCGGUGAAAUUGUAAGUGGUACCCUCAUGAUUCUUCCCCCAAAGCUCCUGAAUUUGUGUGUUCUAGGACAGGGAGAAAGAAUGCCAUUUAUUCAUCAUUAAUUCAAAGUAAAGGCUUCUUCCUGAGGGACAGUAUCACAAAUCUGCAAGGCAUUGUCUACCAGCCGGUAGCCAGCUGGAACCACAUCUGAGUCUUCGUUAGAUCUUUCCGUCUUUCUGUAAGUUCAGUUGCUUCUGGAUAGUAGGACACUUGGCUACACCAGUGAAUUCUACAGUCAUCAGCCCAUUGCCUUAUUUCUAUCUCUGUAAAGCGAGUUUCUUGGAGCAAUCUAUUCACAAUUUAAAUUUUUAUUAUAGGUCAGUUUAUUUAAAUCAUUUCAAAAGUGUAUUUGAGUGGCAUUGUCAUAUAUUAGGAGUCAUCUUAACCGCUUAUUUCAAGAUAUUUGGAAAAUAAAUAUCAAGAAAAUCACAAUUAUUAUAAAAUAAAAAAUCUGGAGUAGGGAUGCUAUUAUGAUGUUUAAGAAUUUAAGUAAGUUCCUCUGAAGAAAGUGUCAGUAGAAACACAGUGGGGCAGUGAAAACAAACCUAAAUAUAAAACAGCUGUCUAUUUCAGUGGGUAGGUUCUUCCCCUACCACAAUGGAAGGGUCCAAUAUAAAUAGCUUCUACCAGGUAGUUGACUGGCCCUGCUGGGAACAGGACCAUCCUAGUGCUCAGGACUGUUUGCGACUCCGGCCAGUAGGGGACUCAGCUCAGGUACAGCCGGAUCACAGUGAUGGGAGAAAGUCCUUCCUUGUUGCUAGGGUUCAUGUCAUUAGGUUCAUUCCCGCCACCAUAGCUGUUUUGUUAACAAGUCCAUUGAUCAAGUACCAUGACUGAUGGUCAUCUUUAAUAAAAGUCAUUUUCUCGUCCUGAUUA